ACUCUUGCCAGUGUAUAUCCAUUAUGAUAUUAAGGCACUUAAAGCUAAUACAGAUUUUGUAUUCAAGAGCAGGGAAGGUCAGCUCAAACUUAUUGUAGGAUUGUGUUCUAUCUCUUUGUAAAGCAAUGCUUAUUAAAUAUUUGUUUCAUGCAAACUGCUUUCUCUAUUCAGCUUUGUGAAGUCUUUUCUUUUUUUUAUUGACAUUGGUUCCAUAUUUUUAGAAAACCUUUUCUGUAUUUUUAUAUUUACCAGGUGAAAAUGAUAUCAUUAUGGUUGGCGAUUUUAAUUUGAAACCAAAUGCUUCUGCCUUCAAAGAGCUAGAGAACAAAGGCUACAUCAAUUGUAUCCCGGAGGACGCCUACACAAACAUCAGCAACAAUAACCCUGCGGGCAGUAAAAGUUAUGACAACAUUUGGAUUAGCAAAGAGACCCAGCAAGUUUUCACAGGUUUUAGCAAUGUGAUCAGGGAAGGCUUGACUAGCACA
rnacentral:sRNA from 1 species